ACUAUAAAGUCACUUGGCAAUUUAGGAUAAUAUUAUAAUAAUAUAUAAAUUAAAUUUUGUGCGCGGGGAGUAGUUAUUGACUAUUGAUUUAUUAUCUGAUGAAUUUUUGUGAAUAAAUUGAAGUUAAGUGAAGGAUAGGAGUUGUGAAUUUCUUCAUUUAUUACUAUGAGAUAAUGGAGUUGAAUGUUGAAAAUUGAUGAAUCAGUGUAGUUUCAUCUCAGCUUGAAAUUAGCUUUAUUGCUAUUGGUUGGGUCUUCAUUGCACUGACUUGAAUCCUCACGUCCAAUUUUCUCCGCAUGGCUGAGCCAUCUUAAAUUGGGUGAGCGGCUGGACAGCGGAGUUAUUAUGCUUUCAUGUUUAUAAACUAGCUGUUUGUAGGAGGUAAAGUAAUUGUUGUCUUUGCAGAGAGUUUAGAGAUAUGCUCUAUCCCUUUUAAUUUAAAUGAAGAAAAUACAUCUGAAGGCGGAAAUAUAAUGUCUAUAGUCUUUUCUGCAUCAGAUUGCUCAGAGAGAACGUAAAUGUUAAGGAACUGAUAGCUGAUACAAAAGUGUAUAUGAUAUACUUGUAGUACGUGGAAAAAAUGCUCAAAGGUUAUAUAAAAGUAAAAAGUUGUCCGCUUCUGCAUGUUUUGCACAGUUCCACAUUCUUUGAUAAUUUGUUGUUAAACCUUACUUGUUAUCAAAAAGUGGUAGAAUCUUGUUGCCUAGCACUUCCAAGAGCUCUCUAUGUUUUAAGUGCAAAUAGAAUAUGAGUAGUUUUCUCAAUUAAAUAGUAUAUUAAUGAAAUUGCAUCUAAAAGAACACUUGUUGGAUUGGUCUAUGCGUGCCAGCUGCUUACGACGCCUGAAUCCAGUCCUAAUAGCUAAACAAGCUCAAAAGAAUCCAAAAGUAUACGGUUUUGGACCAUCAUGAUCCUUGGAAUUUGUGCCAUUAGAUCUUCUGGACAGACAUAUCUAAUGAUCUAAAUUCCAAGGACCAUGAUGUUUUAGUAGGAGUCCUGGACCAUAGUAGAUGUGCUUUUAGAGUCAUCUAAAGUGAAGGCUGUCUCAUCUGCUUGUAAUUGUGCAAAUGCACAAUAUUUCAUACCGGAUAAUUUGCUAUCAAAUCACAAUAUUUGCCAACAAGUGGUAGUAGCUGGGUUGUCUAGAGGAUUAACUGUAUUUUACUAAUGCCAAAAGAAGAAUAAUCGUUUUCUUCUAUUUGCAUUAUGGAAUAAUUUUCUGUACUGAAUUUGACAGAAGUGUUUGCUUUGAUUUCUUUGCGAGUUGCCUUUUUAUUCUAGCCUGUUGGUUUUGACUUCUGGGGACUGCCAAUGAUAAUAGAGGUCAUAUCUUUAUAUGGCAUCUGCAGUCAUACACGCUUCCAAGGAUAGGGCGACGGAAUAGAUUACCUUUUGGCCAGUGCAUGGUGAAAAGAGAUACUGGUGGUAGAUAAUGUGGAAGUCUUGAACUUCCUUCUUGAAAUACUUGAAACUCAUUGAGCAGCUGUUUCUAUUUGUAAUUUUACAACAUUUUGUUGUUUCAUUUUAGGGCAUUUUAGACAAUCAUGUUGCUUCUUCUCCGAAUUUCUCUGUUUCCUUUGGUUGGCUAAGUUGGGUCUUCCAAUUUCUCUGUUUCCUUUUGGUUGGCUAAGUCGGGGUUUGGUUUCUUCGAUAAUUUAGCACAUACCACAUGGUGAAGUAAAGGUUUUUGUUUCUCAGGAACAUGCCAAAAUCAUAAAUGUCAAACAAACAUACAUAUUAUGAAUGCUAAAUUUGACACUUACAUUUUAUGUUAUAAAGAGCACAACUAUAAGGUCAUUUACUUUGGCUGUAAAGAAAUAAGAAUACUCUAGUCUGAGCUAGUGGUAUCAAUUCGAAGCUUAGAUGGUCAAGCAAACAAAUUGCGACUAAUGAAUUGUGAACCCAUGAUUUUCAUAGACUAUGGUUUGUAGUCUGUAAAGUACAUAAUCUUGUAUACUUGCCUGAGCAGCUUUCUUGAUGCAGUGUGAAAAUAAUGAUGGCCGUGCACCACACACAUAACUUGAUGCUGAUAUAGCUGCUGGAAUGGGCAUGCCAGAUAAUGGUCCAAAGCUAUGUCAAUGGGUUGAGCUUCUCUCGUUCUGGUUAAUAACUCCUUUGGCACUGAUUGCUCAGAGAGAACGUAAAUGUUAAGGAACUGAUAGCUGAUACCCAAGUGUAUAUGAUAGUACUUGUCGUACAUGAAAGAAAUGCUCAAAGGUUAUAUAAAAGUAAAAAGUUGUCCGCUUCUGCAUGUUUUGCACAGUCCCACAUUCUUUGAUAAUUUGUUGUUAAACCUUACUUGUUAUCAACAAGAAAAGGUAAAACUACCUUAUGGAACUUGGGAAGGACAAAAUCUGGACGAAGAAACAGCUGGGAAUUGUUGCAAACAGCUGGGAAUUGUUGCGAACUUGGAAGUACUGUGCAGUUUAUGAGCAAGCGUCACUAUUGGGUUGAUCUUUUGUGUAUGUGUCUGUAUUUUAGAAAAUUGAAGCAGUCCAUUACACCUAAUUCAAAGAAACAAUCUCAUAAAUAGUUGUCGUAAAGGUAUAAUGUUGCUAUUUCUUUAAUUUUUUUUUUAAAAGUUGGAUCAGUUUGGGUACAUUAGGCAAUGUACUUUAUCUAACUAUCUUAUUGAGUAUGGUUUAUCUGCCUGA